UACGGGGGGGGCAAGCGUUGUUCGGAAUUACUGGGCGUAAAAGGCUCGUAGGCGGCCAACUAAGUCGGACGUGAAAUCCCCAGGCUCAACCUGGGAACUGCGUCUGAUACUGGAUGGCUUGAAUCCGGGAGAGGGAUGCAGAAUUCCAGGUGUAGCGGUGAAAUGCGUAGAUAUCUGGAGGAAUACCGGUGGCGAAGGCGGCAUCCUGGACCGGCAUUGACGCUGAGGAGCGAAAGCCAGGGGAGCAAACAGG
rnacentral:rRNA from 1 species